rnacentral:rRNA from 1 species
UACGGGGGGGGCAAGCGUUGUUCGGAAUUACUGGGCGUAAAGCGUGCGCAGGCGGUUAUGUAAGACAGGUGUGAAAUCCCCGGGCUUAACCUGGGAACUGCAUUUGUGACUGCAUAGCUAGAGUACGGUAGAGGGGGAUGGAAUUCCGCGUGUAGCAGUGAAAUGCGUAGAUAUGCGGAGGAACACCGAUGGCGAAGGCAAUCCCCUGGACCUGUACUGACGCUCAUGCACGAAAGCGUGGGGAGCAAACAGG